UAGAAGUCUCCGUGAACCUAUUUGAAAUUGAGGUGGGAAAGGAGCUAAAGUAAAAUUCUUCUUACCAGGAUUUACAGAGCUGAGUAAAUGAGAAAAUGAGUUUUUGUAAACUCCAGCAGAAACCACGUGAGAUAAAUCAGUUCCGGUUCCACAGCAAAGAGGGGACAGCUGAGCCCACAGUAACAGGGUCUGGUGAUCUUCAGGUUCUUUGAGGAGCUGUCCUUGCUCCCCCCAGGACAGAGAGCUGGCUGGCCUGAGCAGCAGCCUGGGCUUUUUCUAAGCAGGCUGCAGCUUUCCUGGCUGCUCCAGGAUGGUGUUUGCACUGGGAUGGAUCAGCUGGAUUUGAAAAGAGCAUUUGCCGAUGGCCUUUGCCAUGGAAUUGUCUCACCACGCCCAGCAGCUCCUGGUCUGAGCCCUGUCCCUCCUAAGGGAGGUCCCUGUGUGCCCUGUGCUGUGCCAGACACAGCUUCAUCUGAGCUGUGGGAAACCCCUGGCCCCGGUGGGAGCACAAGGAGCACCUGCACCCAGACACCUGUACAG